rnacentral:rRNA from 1 species
UACGUAGGGGCAAGCGUUAUCCGGAUUUACUGGGUGUAAAGGGAGCGCAGACGGAACUGCAAGUCUGAUGUGAAAGCCCGGGGCUCAACCGCGGGACUGCAUUGGAUACUGUAGAUCUGGAGUGCCGGAGGGGCAAGCGGAAUUCCUGGUGUAGCGGUGGAAUGCGCAGAGAUCAGGAGGAAUACCGAAGGCGAAGGCAGUCCUCCAAGCCGUUAUUGACGCUCAACUGCGAAGGUGUGGGUAUCAAACAGGAUUAGAUA